AGGACGAACGCUGGCGGCGUGCUUAACACAUGCAAGUCGAACGGUGAACCGGGCUUCGGCCUGGGGAUCAGUGGCGAACGGGUGCGUAACACGUGGGCAACCUGCCCCAGACACAGGGAUAACCCCGGGAAACCGGGGCUAAUACCGGAUACUCCGGUCGAACCGCAUGGCUCGAUCGGGAAAGCUCCGACGGUCUGGGAUGGGCCUGCGGCCUAUCAGCUUGUUGGUGGGGUAACGGCCUACCAAGGCGACGACGGGUAGCUGGUCUGAGAGGACGACCAGCCACACUGGAACUGAGAUACGGUCCAGACUCCUACGGGAGCAGCAGUGGGAAUCUUGCACAAGUGGGCGAAAGCCUGAUGCAGCGACGCGCGUGGGGAUGAAUGCUUCGGGUUGUAAACCCGUUGGCGAGGAAGAAGCGCAAGUGACGUACUGCAGAAGAGCUCGCUAAC
rnacentral:rRNA from 1 species